CACGGGUUUGAUCCCUGGCCGGGCAAUAGGUUAAAGGGUCCCAGCUGUAGUUCAGAUUCAAUCCCUGGCUCGAGAACGUUCACAAGCAGCAGGUGGGGCCGUUAAAAAAAAAUUAGCUUUUUUAGACCCUAAACUCAGAAGUAAUGAUCCCAUCGUCACUAUUUUUCUAUUCCCUGGAACAGAAGUACGUCCCUCCCGCACUCAGGGCUGGGGCCAUGGCCCCCAGAGUGAGGAUUCUUUGGGGCUUGGAGGCUGCCCACCGGCCGCUCCCGUGAGGACCUUUGGAGAGUGGGAUGAGGGGUUUCCAGACGCGGAUCCAGAACUUCACCCUGACGCUUCACUGCCACCCUGUGAGCUGACCCUACUAAUGAGCAUGCAGUGGGCGGCACCCUGACUGCAGCCCGGAGGGACCCUGAGCAGAGGACCAGCUCAGCCAGCCCUCCAACCUGCGGGAACUGCGAAAGAAUAAAUGUGUGGUGUGUUGCUGUAA